rnacentral:lncRNA from 1 species
AUGACCGAAUACAAACAGUGUAGCUAUUCCCUCCGCAAGGCAAUCAAACAAGCUAAGCGCCAGUAUAGAGACAAAGUAGAGUCGCAAUUCAACGGCUCAGACACGAGAGGUAUGUGGCAGGGUCUACAGUCAAUUACGGACUACAAAAGAAAAACCAGCCCCGUUGCGGACCAUGAUGUCUUGCUCCCAGACAAACUAAACAACUUCUUUGCUCACUUUGAGGACAAUACAGUGCCACUGACACGGCCCGCUACCAAAACCUGCGGGCUCUCCUUCACUGCAGCCAAUGUGAGUAAAACAUUUAAAUGUGUUAACCCUCGCAAGUUUGCAGGCCCAGACGGCAUCCCCAGCCGUGUCCUCAGAGCAUGCGCAGACAAGCUGGCUGGUGUAAUUACAGACAUAUUCAAUCAAUUCUUAUCCCAGUCUGCUGUUCCCACAUGCUUCAAGAGGGCCACCAUUUUUCCUGUUCCCAAGAAAGCUAAGGUAACUGAGCUAAAUGACUAUCGCCCCGUAGCACUCACUUCCGUCAUCAUGAAGUGCUUUGAGAGACUAGUCAAGAACCAUAUCACCUCCACCCUACCUGACACCCUAGACCCACUCCUAUUUGCACACCGCCCCAAUUGGUCCACAGAUGAUGCAAUCACACUGCACACUGCCCUAACCCAUCUGGACAAGAGGAAUACCUAUGUAAGAAUGCUGUUCAUCGACUACAGCUCAGCAUUUAACACCAUAGUACCCUCCAAACUCGUCAUUAAGACCCUGGGUCUCGACCCCGCCCUGUGCAACUGGGUCCUGGACUUCCUGAUUGGCCGCCCCCAGGGGGUGAGGGUAGGUAACAACAUCUCCACUCCGCUGAUCCUCAACACUGGGGCCCCACAAGGGUGCGUUCUCAGCCCUCUCCUGUACUCCCUGUUCACGCAUGACUGCGUGGCCAUGCACGCCUCCAACUCAAUCAUCAAGUUUGCAGAUGACACUACAGUGGUAGGCUUGAUUACCAACAGCAAUGAGUCGGCCUACAGGGAGGAGGUGAGGUCCCUUGGAGAGUGGUGUCAGGAAAAUAACCUCAAACUCAAUGUCAACAAAACAAAGGAGAUGAUCGUGGACUUCAGGAAGCAGAGGGAGCAGCCCCCUAUCCACAUCAACCGGACAGUAGUGGAGAGGGUGGAAAGUUAA